UACGUAGGUGGCAAGCGUUGUCCGGAUUUACUGGGCGUAAAGAGCGCGCAGGCGGUCGAAUAAGUCGAAUGUGAAAGCCCCCGGCUUAACUGGGGAGGGUCAUUCGAUACUGCUCGACUUGAAGGCAGGAGAGGGAAGUGGAAUUCCCGGUGUAGUGGUGAAAUGCGCAGAUAUCAGGAGGAACACCAAUUGCGAAGGCAGCUCGCUGGGACGUUACUGACGCUGAGACGCGAAAGCGUGGGGAGCAAACAGG
rnacentral:rRNA from 1 species